ACAGAAAGCACCAUCUUCCUCAAAGAGAGGAAGUCCUUCAUUGUUGAAGAAACCAAAAUAAAAUGACUUGUGGUUUUCCCCAUGUCCUCUUGCGUUGUAAGUAAAUACCUUCAUAGAGACUCCAUUUCUCCAAACCCUAUUUAUUCCCCAUUCUUUGCAGAAAAAUGCUGGUACAUUUUUACCCCAGGAGGCACAGCCACCCCAGAGCCACACAGCAAUGGAUACUUAAGAAUAAGACUCUCUGCAGGAGGAUCAAGGAGUAAUAAAAAGAGCAGAAUAUCUGCAGCUGCCAAGACCUCGGCUCUAAUUCUAGAUUUGCAGCCCAUGGCUGCACAAUAGGCACAAGAAUGAACCAACGUCACCACCAAGGAAAGUGGCACAGCUGAGCUGCACCCACGUCUGACUCCAAGGGACCAGCUAUUGACAGCUAUUCACCAUUUGGUUUCUUUCCCUCAUCUACCUCUGCUAAUGAGCGUAUAGGAGGUCAUCUAGCCUGUCAACACUCACUGAGGCGUCUGUCUCAUUUCUUCCAUCAAAUGGUGAAUCAUGUUCAAUGAUCUCCCUCCCAUCAGUCUUUUACUACUCAAUCCUGAGGCCUGGACGUACCCACAAAAGUGAGUUCUAUUGAUUGCGCUAAGCUGUUAAAAUAAAAUAUGCUUUCCCUGAAUGUGAUGCAGGUAAAUCCAGAUAGGAAACAACUGUUUAUGUAUUCAUGGGAUAGACCAAGAGUCUUGCAAAGUGGCCUGGUCAAAGUCGACACAUCAUUUCCUUGGGGAAAUCUUGCAUCAGAUUUCACCACACAUCUGUUUUAUAAACUCUGACAGCAUCUGACAUUUAUAGUACUGAUCAUAACUG
rnacentral:lncRNA from 1 species